rnacentral:tRNA from 1 species
GGUCCCUUGUCCCAGUUGGUUAAGGCGUGGUGCUAAUAACGCCAAGCUCAGGAGUUCGAUCCUGCUAGGAAUCA